AGGAUUCAUGUGCUUUCAG
rnacentral:miRNA from 1 species